CCCGCUGAACUUAAGCAUAUCAGUAAGCGGAGGAAAAGAAAAUAACAAUGAUUACCUCAGUAGCGGCGAGUGAAGAGGUAAAAGCCCAAGAUGUAAAUCUGCUCACAAAAGCGGAAUUGUAAUCUAUGGAAUAUCUCAGAAGGAGGACAUCACUCAUAAGUUCUUUGGAACAAGACACCAUAGAGGGUGAAAGUCCCGUCUUUGGAGUGAUAGAAUCGAUAUGAGCUGUUUCCAAGAGUCGGGUAGUUUGGGAAUGCUGCCCUAAUUGGGAGAUAAACUUCUCCUAAGGCUAAAUAUUUAUAGGAGACCGAUAGCAUACAAGUACUGCGAAGGAAAGAUGAAAAGAACUUUGAAAAGAGGGUUAAAAGACUUGAAAUCGUUGAAAAGGAAGCAGUAAAAGAGAAAUGAGUCUGCGUUAAUUUGUGAUCGUUCUAAGUUGCAGGGUGGAGAGUAUCUCAUAGAGCUCUUAUUUUGCAAUGAAAAAUGAAAAGCUUUUAACGUAUGACAGACAAAAUGAGAUUUAUUUCCAAGAAUAAGGUAGAAGUUUACUCAACUGCUUGAAGUUGGAAAUAAGUCUGAGGGAUUAUCUAAUGAUUUUGUCAAAAUGGCUUUUACUGACCCGUCUUGAAACACGG
rnacentral:rRNA from 1 species